rnacentral:rRNA from 1 species
GCAAGUCGAACGGUAACAUUCUCGCUUGCGAGAGAUGACGAGUGGCGGACGGGUGAGUAACGCGUAUGCAACCUACCUUCAACAAAGGGAUAGCCCAGAGAAAUUUGGAUUAAUACCUUAUAAUAUUUUCAGUUCGAUUGGACUGAUUCUUAAAGAUUCAUCGGUUGAAGAUGGGCAUGCGUGACAUUAGCUAGAUGGUAAGGUAACGGCUUACCAUGGCAACGAUGUCUAGGGGUUCUGAGAGGAAGAUCCCCCACACUGGUACUGAGACACGGACCAGACUCCUACGGGAGGCAGCAGUGAGGAAUAUUGGACAAUGGGCGCAAGCCUGAUCCAGCCAUGCCGCGUGAAGGAUGACUGCCCUAUGGGUUGUAAACUUCUUUUAUAGAGGAAGAAACCUCUCGACGUGUCGAGAGCUGACGGUACUCUACGAAUAAGGACCGGCUAACUCCGUGCCAGCAGCCGCGGUAAUACGGAGGGUCCAAGCGUUAUCCGGAUUUAUUGGGUUUAAAGGGUCCGUAGGCGGGGUUUUAAGUCAGUGGUGAAAUCCUACAGCUCAACUGUAGAACUGCCAUUGAAACUGGAACUCUUGAAUGUGAUUGGAGUGGGCGGAAUAUGUCAUGUAGCGGUGAAAUGCUUAGAUAUGACAUGGAACACCGAUAGCGAAGGCAGCUCACUAAGUCAUGAUUGACGCUGAUGGACGAAAGCGUGGGGAGCGAACAGGAUUAGAUACCCUGGUAGUCCACGCCGUAAACGAUGAUUACUAGCUAUUGGCGAUACACUGUCAGUGGCAUAGCGAAAGUGUUAAGU